GGGUCUGUCGGUUAAUGGCAAACCACCGGUCUCCAAAACCGGGACUCCCCGUUCGAGUCGGGGCAGACCCG
rnacentral:tRNA from 5 species